UUGGGAAUAAACUUUUCCGAAAGGGGAGCUAAUACCGCAUAACAUCAUGAAUGGGCAUCCAAUUAUGAUCAAAGCGGGGGAUCGCAAGACCUCGCGCCUGCAGAGGAGUCCGCGGCUGAUUAGCUAGUUGGUGAGGUAAUGGCUCACCAAGGCAUCGAUCAGUAGCCGGCCUGAGAGGGCGACCGGCCACACUGGCACUGAAACACGGGCCAG
rnacentral:rRNA from 1 species